GAGUUUUUUUCUCAAAUUGCUUCCUUCUGGUGUUCAAUACUUUUUAUGUCUCGAAAAUGGAAAACCAUCGAGAAGAUACUGUUGCGCUUCCCCCGCGCUCUCGCUCUGUUGAAGAGAGAUCUAGUCCAGGGAACAACUUAGAAUCUCACCAGUGUUCCUCUGUUCCCGCCUAUCUUCCCAACACGGAGCAGUGCGAACAAAGAGAAACCACAGAAUCAUGUCAACAGGCUCAGUCGUUACCCAUACCAGCCCUCAUCUCGGAGAGACAGGGCUCCCAAGACAGUAUCACCCAAAGGGUCUCUACAACCGCUGUACAACAAGCAGAGGGAUUUCAACAACGUCCACAAAUCCCACCAUUAAUACCAACAGAAUCCCUACUCCGGAAUGAAAAUCAAACACCUAUGGCCGAAUCUAGUACUACCCCACCCUCGAAUCAAGAUGAUGAAAGUUCCGCCGGUGCCAUUGAUAUAACGGAUAAGGGGGAAACUCACAAGGCGAGUUCUAAUCCUAUGCCUUCUGGUGCGAACAACUUGGCAGUCCACAACGUGUCUAUACCCAUGCCCAAUACUGUCGGAAACAUCAUUGCCACCACCAGGGAAAGUGGAAACCUAGAGGACUAUUCCAACCGCUCAAUUAAAAGCGAACCUGGAAUAGUAACAGAGCCAACACCUAUGAGACGAACGCCAGGUGUUCAAGUCAAGAAGGUGUUGCAACUAGCAAUACAGAAGAUCCGAUGUUACCCCGAGAAGUUGGAGCUGACAUGGAUGAUAUCAAUAACCCAUUCUACACAGUUCCAAAUUACCCAAACAUGUUUAUUAACCAACAAUCUGCUUAUUCGUCUGUGCCGUACGGGGACACAACUCAGAAACAAGCUCAGGGCGCACAAUCUUUACCUCCAUACUAUGAAAGUGUUAAAAAAGUUUGUGAGACAAAAUGUAUCGAAGAGACAAAUGUUGCGUCUGGUCGACCCAAAUUGGAACAUGACACGGACGGAGUUACCAUGCAAACCAAGAAAGUCAUUGUUCCCGCAGGUGAGACGCAUGAAGACAAAUACUUGUACAUGCAGUAUAAAGCAUCAGAAUGUAACAAAUUAAAGUACUCAAAGCAUGGCC
rnacentral:misc_RNA from 1 species